UUUAUUUUUUUUAGCCUGGUUUGUUGGGCUCCCGGCGAAUUCUUGCGUUCCUUCUGCCCUUCGACACAGCACGAUUGCACUAUUGGACUGCGGCAAGCUGGCGUCGUCCGGUGGAGCUUCGUACGGGAACUAGAUCUGCUUACCUGGUGCCACAAGGGAAAAAGGAAGCCCAAGACGAAGAUGGCCACCAUUGGACCACACAGCGCACCUGACAGGGAUGAGGCAGCCUGCGUUCGCAAACAAA